rnacentral:rRNA from 1 species
AACGAACGCUGGCGGCAGGCUUAACACAUGCAAGUCGAACGCCCCGCAAGGGGAGUGGCAGACGGGUGAGUAACGCGUGGGAAUCUACCUAGUUCUACGGAACAACAGUUGGAAACGACUGCUAAUACCGUAUACGCCCAACGGGGGAAAGAUUUAUCGGAAUUAGAUGAGCCCGCGUAAGAUUAGCUAGCUGGUGAGGUAAUGGCUCACCAAGGCGACGAUCUUUAGCUGGUCUGAGAGGAUGAUCAGCCACACUGGUACUGAGACACGGCCCAGACUCCUACGGGAGGCAGCAGUGGGGAAUAUUGGACAAUGGGCGCAAGCCUGAUCCAGCCAUGCCGCGUGAGUGAUGAAGGCCUUAGGGUUGUAAAGCUCUUUCAGUAGGGAAGAUAAUGACGGUACCUACAGAAGAAGCCCCGGCUAACUUCGUGCCAGCCGCCGCAGUAAGAC